CGAAAAAUAAAACAAUCCAGCAAAACGACAAUGGGAGCUCUAGAGUCUUCGGCACUCCAGCUGUAAUCCAUUAAAAGAAAACCCCUCUUGAAAGCAACAAAAAAAUGCAUGGGGAAGGCCAACAAAUCAGAAGCUUUAAACGUCCAUCAAUCUACACCAUCAGAAAAAUCUUCCCAUUUCCCCAAAGCACUUUGGAGAUAACACCCUGUUGAAUUUGAAACUCACAGCAAAACAAUUUCUUCAGAAAACACUCCCACCUAACUCUUCAUUUCCCCUCCUUCUUGACUCUCUCGCCUCCUCCGUCCACCGCUUAUCUUCAGCCACCAUCUCCGCAACACCAGAAGGGACUAGAUUCAAUAGAUAAGUAGAAUCUCCUUUCUUAAUUCCUUCAGAUGCUAGAAAAUGGGCUACCUUGUUAGCCUCCCUGUUAGUAAAGAGAAAUACACAUAAACUGAAACUUAAACUCAGCUUCAAAGCAUCAUUGAUAUAAACUGAGAUCUCAGAACUAUCAUUCAUCUGUUUUUGCAGCUUCCGGAUUACCGACUGAGAGUCUCCCUCAACCUCCACCUCUCUCAAACCAAGUUGUACCCCAAGAUUCAGAGCCUGAACACACGCAACCGCUUCUGCUGCAAAUACAGAGGGUAUGUUUGUGUUCAUUACAGUUUUUGAACAUAUGAUCCUAGCUUCCUUAUUACGCACCACUAAUCCUGAGCAUGAUUCUUUUUUUUAUGGUUGUUGAAAGCUGCGCCAAAGUUUAUUUUCAGCCUCGAUCCCAUCGGUACAACCCAUCUGUCCACAUACACCCUUCUUUCAGGUACACAACAAUGCAAACCAUCAAGUUCCUUUAAAUAGUUGUUCACAAAAAUAACAAUUUGAGCACUUGAUUUAAUCUCCCCCUCAUGAAUAAAUCUAUUUCGAAAAGUCCAAAUCGCCCAUAAAACACAUGCUAUCAUUCUACAGUUAGCCAUAGAUCUGGACUCAAAACUACUUUUUAUCCAGUCUCUGAAAUUUAAGGUUUUAUAGGAAAUAGGCCAAAAAAUACUUAACUGCUCCCAUGUUUCCUUUGUAGAAGGGCAUUCACGAAACAGAUGCUCCUUUGUCUCCGCUCCAGAUUAACACCACCGACACGUAGGAGAAUCCAACAUUCUUCGAUAGUGUAGAUUACUGAAAGUAGGUACAUAGUUACACAAAAGUCUCCAAACUGUAAUUUUAAUUUUAGGGGUAGGUCCAGUUUCCAUAGUUUCUUGUAAAGUUGUAUGUAAUCUGCUUGUAUUUGGUUUCGUCCUUCAUGUAAAACGAUUUUGUGAACAAUACGAACCGAGUACUCCCCAGACAACUCACGCCUCCAGAUGAGAGAAUUUUCUUGCUCAAACAAAGGAAGAGGAAUGCAAAGAAUUCUUUUUGCAACCGGCAUAGAGAAGGUACUAUGAAUCAACUCAAAAUUCAAUUAUCUAGAAUUAGCAUGAAUCAGAUUUGCCACUUUAUUAAUUCUAGGAUUACUAUUCAUGUUUUGGACUCUGACCUCUUCAUUUCUAGGGAUCCAAACAUCUUCCCAGAUAGAAACUUUCCGACCAUCCCCGAUCUUCCAUGCCAUUCCCUUCAAAACUAGUCCCCUUGUGGCCCAUAGACUUUUCCAGGUAAAAGAAGGUAAAUUUCCCAAUCUAGCGUUUAAGAAAUCGGAAUCCUUAAAGUAUUUGGCUCUUAAAAGUAUGCGCUAGUAAGGAAUUAAGGUAUCGUAACAAACGCCAUUCUUGUUGGCCAAUAAAGCUAUAUUAAAAGAACUCAAAUGACGAAAACCCAUGCCUCCUUCCUCCAACGUACAUAAAGACCUCCAAUCACACCAAUGCGUCCUUCUCUUGCAAUGAUUAUUCCUCCACCAAGAUGAACCCAUUAUAUUUUCCAACUCUAAACAAAGAGUUUUUGGUAAAAGAAAACAAGACGAUCGUAUAAGUAGGUAGAGCUUGUAAAACAGCUUUAAUAAAAACCUCUUUUGUAACAUUUUGAAAUAGGUCCUAAAUAGAAUAGUGUUUGUGAAAUGACAAAUUUGAUAUAGAAAAGUUUAUUUUGAUUAAUUUUUAUGAUUUAUCAAGUGAUUAGAUGCAUGUGUGUAUUGAUAAUAAAUUUUAUAGAUUGCAUGUUUAAUUUGUCUAUUAGGGCUUAUUUGUAGAAAUUGUUGUAACAGUCCGAUUUAGGGCCUAAGCGGAAUGAUGGUUUUAGAAUAACGAAUUCGAAGUUGAAAAAUUUAUUUUGAUUAAGUUUUAAGGUUUAUUUAUUGAUUAAAAUAUUGUGUAAAAAUAUCGUUAAGUAAUUUUACUGAUAAAGUGCUUAAUUGGACUUUUAAGACUAAAUUGUAAAAGUUGUAAAAUGUGUUUUAAUUUAUAAGUAAUUAAUUGAAAUUGGGGUUUAAAGAGGUCCUUAAAUGGUAAUUUUAGCAUUAUAUUUUGUUUGGACAAAAAUGGGCAUGAAUAGGAUAAAAUUUUAAAGAAGGGCCUGCAUUUUAGUUAUUUGGUAAUUAAAAGAAAUAAAAAGAAAAAAUAAAGCUAAAAUUGACUCAUCUUUUUCAUGGAGAUUGAAAUUUGCAUGGGGAAGACAUGGAUAGGGUUUUCAAACUUUCUAAGCUCGACAGUAAGUCUAUUCUAGCUCUGUUUUUUAAGUUCUUUACGAUUUCGAAAAUCUGGUAACUUGAUUAAGUUUAUUUUAGCAAUAAUUUAAGUUAGGGUUCAUAUUUAGAAAAAUACCUGUAGGUGGAAUGUGUUUAUUUUGAUUUUUAUGGUAGAAUUUCAAGGAUAAAGUUAUGUUAAACAACUUUUGCUAAGUGGUUUUAAGCAAAAAUGAGUAAAACGGCUUAAUCGGUAAAAAUUGUUAUUGUUCAUAACUAUGUGUUAGAGUGAGAAUUUGAUGUUGCCAUAAAAGGGAAAAAUAAUCAGCAUGUUAUAAAACAUAAGAAUAAGGGAUGAAUUAUAAUUCCCGAGUUUAGGGGUAAAAGUGUAAAUAUGUAAAAGUUUAGGGGUAAAAUUGUAAUUUUGCCAAAGUUUAAGUUAAGGAUUUUUUUGAAUAUUAAAUUAAUUAAAUAAGUAAAAUAUGAUGUUUUAGAUUCCGAAAAAUGACAUUUGAAUUUAGAAUGGGAGAAAAGUUGAAAAUCGGGAAAGUUGGUAAAAUGACCGUUUUAGUAUCGAGGUAAGUUCAUAUGUAUAAUAAGCAUUAAUUUAUGCAUGUUUCAAUGUAAAAUUGAUAUAUUUACUAUGAUUGUCGAGGUGUUGAAAGUAAGUAUAAGUUAUGAUGAUUUAAAUGUUCAAUAUUAAUUCGACAUGGAAAUGAGAAAGUAUGUAAGUUUGUAUGUAAAUAAUACAUUAUCUUUAUUAUGUUUUUGUAUUUCAGCAUAUUUUAUGUAUUGUAGCUGAUUUUUGAAUCAUAAUUGACUAUUGGAAGUAUGGAAUCAAGUAUUAGAAAGAGAGAGAAAUCUCGGUUGAACCUUCGGAAAUAUUAGAUGAUACAGAUGGUAUGUAGCUAGGUCACAUGUAUGGUGCUGAGUGCACAUCAUGUGUACAAGAGAGCUACGAGACAUUAUGAUGUAGCUAGGUCGCAUGGGUGAUACUAUGUGUACACCAUGUAGAGAAGAGAGCUAUGGGAUAUAUGUAGUUAGGUCGCAUGCGUGGUUCCAAGUGAAGGACACCAUGUAGACAAAAGAGCUACGAGAUAAACUGGCUAGGUCACAUGGGUGGUACUAAGUGUUCAUUAUGUGUACAAGAGAGCCAAAAUUAUGUGUACAAUCGAGCUAGGUCACAUGAGUGGUGCUAAGUGAAGGUCACUAUGUGUAUAAGAGAGCUUCGAUUUUAAAGGUGGGCUGUGUGCGAUACCAUCGCGUAUCUGUUAUUAUUCUGAAGCGUUCAACUGGGAAAUUGAUUAAAUGAAAUUGUGUAUGACUUUGUGACGAUAAGUGUAAGCAUAUACGUGUGUAACUUAUGAGCAAUAUGCUUGAUAUGUGAUUGGAAAUUGGAAAGAUUGUUAUGGGAAAGUGAUGAAUACAAUUGAAGUGUGAAAGAUCAAAAUUGACAAUAAAAUUGUUCUGGAUAGUUGCAGUGAUGUGAAUCUAAAAAUUUACCAAAAAUAGUAGAAAUUGAAUCAGAGAAUGAAUGAGAUAUAAAAUUAGAGCUUAAUGAGUCUAUUUUCAUAUAACAGAAAUAGAGCAAGCAAAGGAAUUCUAUAUUAUGAGAUAUUUAAGUUUUUAAGAGACUGGUUCAGAAUGACUACGUGAUCCCUUGUUUUGACUUGGAAAAAUAAUUAAAAAUUUUUAAAAAAUAAUUAGGGGAUAUAAUUUAUAUUCUUGAAAUCCUUAAUGAGUCUAGUUUCAAAUGAAAUAAACGAGAACAUCCUUUGAAUUCUGUACGAGGAGAAAAUUGAUUCGUAGUGAAGAGUGGUCAGAACAGUUGAGCAGUGAAACAGGGGUAACUUCAAUGAAUAAACUGUACUAAUUAUCUAGACCAAAAAAUUCUGAAUAUAUGUGAAUCUUAUUUCAAGGAAAAUUAACGAUUUGUAAUUUGGAGUUCUGUAGCUCCAGAAAUAAAUAAUUUAGCUGCUGGUACUCUGCUAGAUAGCUUAUUUUGAACCUGUUUAUGAUUGUAAUAGUGAAAGUAUGUGCGUUUGUGAUGGUAAUAUUCCGGGAACAUAUUGUGACUUUGUUUAAAGUAUGAUAAUGUAUUGUUUAUUAAUAUUUACAUACUUGCUUACUAAGCUAUAAUGUUUACUCCCUUCCUUUCCUUUUUCCUAUAGUGUCGCAAAUGUUAGCUCGAGUUGGAGGUCACUGGAGGUUAAAUUACACUAUCAAACUAUUGAUCGAUAUAUAAAGAUUUUAAAGUAUUUUAAGUCUUUGGGAUGCAUGGAGACUCGUUUAAUUGUUAUUAAGUUGCUAGGAAUUGGCUUAAAAUACUGACCUAUGUUAUUUGAAGGUCUCUAUUGUAUAAAGUCAUUUAAUGUAGAUAGUCUUGACUAUGUUAUUAAUUAAAUGAUGCAAUUUAUGAAUGUGCAUGCUUGCCUAUGUGUGUGAUUGAAUUAAAGCAUGAUAUGGGCCUUGUAAGCUCUUUUUAAGGAACGGCUUGAAUGUAUUUGAAAAAGUUUUAAAUUAGAGUAAAAUUAUGAAUCGGUUUUUAUACGAUGAUUAGUGAUUAAGUCCGGUAAUGCCUCGUACCCUGUUCCGACGUCAAACACGGGUAAGGGGUGUUACAUCUUUACCUCUUUGAGAAAUAUGUCUUAUACUCCAAUUGUUGAUUUUCUGCUUCAUGCAAUCUUUCAAAUUUUGAAAAGCUAAUUUCUUUUUACGACCCACCAAAUUUGGAAGCCCAAGAUAUCUCUCCAUAUCUGUAGAGCAACGAACAUUAAGAGCCCGAAAAACCAUAUUCUUGUCAUGAUCCUUCACAUUAGUACUGGAAAAAAAUCGUGGAUUUCUCAAAAUUUACACACUGUCCUGUACAAGCCUCAUACUCCGCAAGAAUGUCCUUCAACGUAUUGAUACCCUGAUUCGAUACCUCUCCGAAUAAGAUGCAAUCAUCUGCAAACAUAAGAUGGGUGAUAGGUGGGGCAGACUUGCAAACUUUAGCCUCACAAUUUUCUUGUCCAGACUAGCCAAUCUCAUUAGUGCAGAAAGUCCUUCACAAUAAAACAAAAAGAGAUAAGGACUUAAGGGAUCCCCUUGGCGCAAACCCCUAGAAGGCUUAAAACAAUUCCUUUCUUCCCAAUUAAUCAAGAUGGAAUAUUGGGCAGAACUCACACAGCGUAAAAUCAAAUCAAUGAAACGCCCAUCAAAACCCAUUUUUAACAUUAUUCCUUUAAUGAAAGGCCACUCCACUCUGUCAUAGGCCUUACUCAUAUCAAGUUUUAAAGCCGUGAGACCCUUUCUCCCAUGUCUUCUGUUCUUAAACGAGUGAAGUACUUCAUAAGCCAAAAGUACAUUGUCUGUAAUGAGUGUCCCUGGAACAAAAGCACUCUGCGAAUCAUCAAUACACUCAUGUAAAGCAUUUUGAAGCCUAUUAGCAACAGUUUUUGCAAUAAUCUUAUAAAUAACUAUGUAUAAACUAAUAGCGCGAAAAUUCAUCAAAUUUAUAGGAAUAGCCGUUUUGGGAAUCAGCACCAAUUGGGUAUUGUUAAUAUCCUCUAAAGGUUUUCCUUUAUUAAGAAUAUCUAAGCAAAAACCACUCACAUCCUUACCAAUAAUGUGCCAGAAUUUUUGGUAAAAAAUUGUUGGAAAACCAUCAGCACCCGAGGCUUUUAUAGGCCCCAUACUUUUUAAUGCCUCAAUAAUUUCAGCCUCCUUGAAAGUUGUCGUCAAGCUUUGAUUCAUGUUGUCAGGGACACAUGAAUAGACCCCGGAAAGAAUGUGCUCCAAAUCACCAAUUCCUCUAGAGUCAAAGAGGUCAGAAAAGUACCCACGGGCAAUGCUCUCCACCUCCCAUCCAUCUGUAGCAAGAGAUCCAUCCCUUCGUUGCAAACCUCGUAUACGAUUCACUCGUCUUCUUUGGGAAGCAAAUCUAUGAAAAAAUGAAGUAUUCUUGUCCCCUAUUUUCAACCAAUUAACUUUUGCCCUUUGCUUCCAAUAUUUCUCCUUCUUGUCCAAUUCCAUAUUCAAGUGAAGUUUGACCUCAACAAUAUUGCCCAAAUUUUCCUCAGAAUUCUCAUCAUUAUUCAGCUUCUCCAAUCGCCUAUUCAAACACUUCACUUCCCGCCCUAUUUUACUUUUAAUUUUGUUCCCCCAAACUUUCAAUCCAUUAGCAAGAUUUGUCAUGCGAGAAAGAAAAGAUCUAGAACUACCCUCCCAUAACUUCCUAAUGAUAAUGCUCUAGAAUAACGUAUUUUUAUGUAUUAAUCAUGUGUUUAUUCUGAGCUUGAUCCUACUAAUUUGAGCUAUUUAUGUCUUUUUAUCUUUUAGGGACUGAUUUGGAGGCAAAAGCAAAAUUAAUGGACAAAAGUGCGAAUUUGGAGACAUAAUGGGCUGAUAUGCGGCACAGGAAAAAGAUUGUGCCAAAAGUGAAAGCAUGGAAGACACAAGACUAAAAACGCAAAAAGAAGAGAUCUUAUUCUAUAAGACUCCAUUUUAUUUAUAUUAGGAUAAUUUAUAUUAGGAUAAUUAUUAGGAUUAUUUAAAUUUUAGGAUUUUAUUUUAAUUAUCUCUAUUUAUCUUUAAUUAAAUGUAUUUAUCUUUUUAGAAUUUAGUUAAAUUAGACUAUCUCCCUAGCACUAUAAAUAGGGGGUGAAGUGACUCUAUUGGGGAUCAUCUUUUUCUGUAAACACUCUCCCCCUGAAAGUCUAGGCUUUUGUUUCUUCAUAUUUUCUUUCAAUAAAAUUCCCUUUUCUAUUUUUUAUA
rnacentral:lncRNA from 1 species